UACGAGGGGGGCGAGCGUUGUUCGGAAUUAUUGGGCGUAAAGGGUGCGUAGGCGGUUUGGUAAGUCUUGUGUGAAAUCUACAGGCUCAACUUGUAGUCUGCACGAGAAACUGCCGGGCUUGAGUGUGGGAGAGGUGAGUGGAAUUCCUGGUGUAGCGGUGAAAUGCGUAGAUAUCAGGAGGAACACCGGUGGUGUAGACGGCUUUCUGGACCGUAACUGACGCUGAGACACGAAAGCGUGGGUAGCAAACAGG
rnacentral:rRNA from 1 species